UACCUAUAAGACUGGGAUAACUUCGGGAAACCGGAGCUAAUACCGGAUAAUAUAUUGAACCGCAUGGUUCAAUAGUGAAAGACGGUUUUGCUGUCACUUAUAGAUGGAUCCGCGCCGCAUUAGCUAGUUGGUAAAGUAACGGCUUACCAAGGCAACGAUGCGUAGCCGACCUGAGAGGGUGAUCGGCCACACUGGAACUGAGACACGGUCCAG
rnacentral:rRNA from 1 species